GAUGAACGCUGGCGGCGUGCCUAAUACAUGCAAGUCGAGCGAACGGACGAGAAGCUUGCUUCUCUGAUGUUAGCGGCGGACGGGUGAGUAACACGUGGAUAACCUACCUAUAAGACUGGGAUAACUUCGGGAAACCGGAUCUAAUACCGGAUAAUAUUUUGAACCGCAUGGUUCAAAAGUGAAAGACGGUCUUGCUGACACUUAUAGAUGUAUCCGCGCUGCAUUAGCUAGUUGGUAAGGUAACGGCUUACCAAGGCAACGAUGCAUAGCCGACCUGAGAGGGUGAUCGGCCACACUGGAACUGAGACACGGUCCAGACUCCUACGGGAGGCAGCAGUAGGGAAUCUUCCGCAAUGGGCGAAAGCCUGACGGAGCAACGCCGCGUGAGUGAUGAAGGUCUUCGGAUCGUAAAACUCUGUUAUUAGGGAAGAACAUAUGUGUAAGUAACUGUGCACAUCUUGACGGUACCUAAUCAGAAAGCCACGGCUAACUACGUG
rnacentral:rRNA from 1 species